rnacentral:rRNA from 1 species
GAUGAACGCUAGCGGAAGGCUUAAUACAUGCAAGUCGAGCGGUAGGUGGCUUCGGCCAUUGAGAGCGGCGCACGGGUGAGUAACGCGUACAUGACCUGCCUGUCAGAAGGGGAUAGCCCUGGGAAACUGGGAUUAAUACCCUAUGGUAUUGAUAUUAUGAAUGAUAUCAAUUAAAGUUGAGGCGCUGACAGAUGGAUGUGCGUCUGAUUAGCUAGUUGGUAGGGUAACGGCCUACCAAGGCGACGAUCAGUAGGGGGCGUGAGAGCGUGGUCCCCCACACGGGUACUGAGACACGGACCCGACUCCUACGGGAGGCAGCAGUAAGGAAUAUUGGUCAAUGCCCGCAAGGGUGAACCAGCCAUUCCGCGUGGAGGAUGAAGGCCCUAUGGGUUGUAAACUUCUUUUAGAUGGGAAGAAAAUGCUAGAUGUAUCUGGUACUGACGGUACCAUCAGAAUAAGCACCGGCUAACUCCGUGCCAGCAGCCGCGGUAAAACG